AUAUAUGCAUUUUUGGUACGUUAAAUUACGUAUUAUUAUUGGCAAUUAGCUGCCCCGAUUUUUACCUGUUCCAAACGAUUUGUUUAUUUUUUUUAUUAUAUUAUAACCGUACCGUUUUUUAACAAUAUUUUGCAACCGUUAAAAUCCUUUAUAUUAUUUUUUUGCAGGAUUUUCUGGGGUUUUGUAAAAAGGCCUAUUCGUUAAAAUUUUGUUUUUUUUAUUAUAAUAAAAUUUGGAUCGCCCAAAUUUAAUAUAUUAUCCGUUUGGAAUCCGAUAAACCCAAACGGGUUAUUUUUCGUUAUUAAUAAAUAAAUAUUGUAAAUCGAAAUUUUGCAAUUUAGCCGUUUUUUAUAAUAGCGUUAAUACGUAUUAAACCAAUGCAAACCUAAUUCGGCUAAACCGUAUAAUGGUUUGUAAAUUUUUAAAUACGUAUCCCGUAAAUAUUUAUAUUGUAAUUUUUUUGGUAUUCGCACCAAAACGUCCUUUAUUAAUUGGUUUUUCGAUUGGGUAUACGUUUAAUUUAUAUUUUUAAUUAUAAAUUUAAAUCCGUAACGUUUUAUUAAAUUUGGUGCGAUUAAAAGAAUUAAACGUUGGUUGCAUUUUAUAAUUGUUGGCGUUUGCGUUAGGAAGGUUUUUUUUUUUAAUUAUUAUAAUUUUAAAUUAUUAAUCUCGAUUUUUCGUACGGCCGUUCCGGCGUUCUUUUGACCUUUCGUACCAUUUUAGCGCCGAAAAUCCGGCUACGUACGUUAUUUUUUAAUAUCGGUUGCAGGAUUUCCGCACCCAACAAUAUUUUAAUUUCGGCGGCGUUUAAUUGUUCGAAUAAAAUCCCUGGUACCGUAAUUUUAUUUUUUAUUUUAUAUUUAAUAACCAGGUCGUAGGCGUGGUUUUUUUUAUCCGAUAUUAACGUAUUAAAUUGCAUUUUGGGUUUCCUAUUUCGUUUAUUGCGUUAGUGUUUUUCGGGUUUAAUUGCCAUUUCGAUCGUUAAAUUGUUCGGUGUUAUAUUCGUUUUAGGGGUAAUAAUUCCUAAAUUAGGGGGCGGUUUUUGCGUUGGAUUAACCGCUAUUAUUAUUAACAAUUUUUUGGGCGUUUUUGGUACCGUUUUUAAUUUCCCCCUAGGCCGUGGAUAGUUUUUUUUAGGGUAAACAAAAUCGUCCUUUUUUUAUAUUUUUGUUUCCUGGUUUUAAUAUUUGUAGUAUGGUUUUAUAUGGGUGUUUUUAAAAUCCAAAUCCCCGUUGGGGAAAGUAAUUUUUACGUUAUUUUCCAUUAUUAAAACGAUUUUAUAUAAACCAUUCCAAUUAUUUUUUUUUCGGUAUAUUAGCAUUUUUGCAUUUAAUUCCAACGUACGUAAAAAUCGGUUCGACAAUUUUGGAUCGUUUUUUGCGGUUAAUGCGUCGUUUAAUUUUUUUUGGCGGUAAAUUUCCGUAAUUCCGUUAUAAUUUUGUAAAUUACCGCCGUUUAUUUUAUUUAAUUGGGCGUCGGAGGUAAAUUUUUCGUAAUUUUAAACAUUGCCCCAAAUAUUAAUAAUAUAAAUACCAAACCGUUCGGCCCUGCGGUAUCGUUAACCGUUUUUACCGUUGUUUGCAGGGCAAUUUUUUGCGAAUAUUCCGUACCGCAUUCGGUACGGAUAAUUUCGUAAAUUCGCUUUAACGGUGUAUAAAAUUUUUCGAUUUUAUUUAUUGCCCAAUAUAUUUCCACCGGUAUUUGGUUAUAUAAUAUACCCAAUAACCGUAUUUUUGCGUGGAAUUCGGUUAUACGGAAAUUGGGUCCCGGGUCGAACGUUAAUACGUCCGGUGGUUUUAAAUAUAUAUCGAUUUAAUAUUAUUUUAAUAUUUUCCAGGUUUUUUUAAUUAAUAUAUCCGUUAUAAAUUUGGUUAUUUAAAAAGCGGUGCUCGUAUUAAUUAUAUAAAAUACCGGGCGUUUUUCCAGGUAUAUUAUAUCGACGAUUACCUCGUAAUUAAAAUCGAUAUUGUUUUUUAAGGCGAAUUUAAAACGUUGGGGCGUUUUUCCUUUUUUUUAAUAAAAAUAAUAAAUUUUGUUAAUUAUUUUUAGGGUUUUAAAAUUUGUUUUUUCCCUUGCCCGUUAUAAAAAUUUUUAUAAUUUAUUAAUUAACGGGUGCCCAAAACGUUUAUGCAUUCGUUUAAAUUUUUUUUCGGUUAGGAAUAUUCCGGCGAUUUUUAAUUCGGUUAAAAACGUAAUUUUAUACGCGGUAUUAUUUGAAUAAAACCACGGGUGCCCCCGUUUUCGUUUAACGGCCAUUUGUUUCCCGUCGCCGCAUAUAAUUUCGUUACGUAUAUUAUUAUAAUAAAUAUAAAACCUAUCCAUAUUUUUUUAAAAAAAUUAAAAACGGUAUAUCGGUUUUUAUAAUAUAAAACGUAAUUUUUCCAAUGGGUGUUGGGAUAUUUACCGUUCCUAAUAAAACGGUUACGUUUUUUUAACCAAAACGAAUACGUGUUUUUCCGGCGCGUUAUUUGUCCAUAUAUAAUUUUGGGUUAUAACGUUUUAAAAUAACGAAUUAUUUAAAUCCCGCUGUAAAAUAUUCCGUUGCACCAAUAUCCGGGAAAAAAUCUUCCUAUUCGGUGCCGUUUAAAAAAAACGUUUAUUAUAAACAAUUAUUACCCAUAACCGAAUUAUAUUCGCGAAUUUUUGGAAACCCUGUACCGUAAUUAAAAACCACAGGUAAAAACUUUGUACCGUGUUCGCGAACUUUUGGUGGUUAUACGUUAUAUUUAUAAGGCGCAGGCAACGGUUUUCUACCGUAUUCGCGAAUUUUUGGCGGUUCCGUAUUAUGUUUUUUAAAUACAAAUAACGGUUUUGUACCGUGUUUGUAAACCUUUGGUAAUUUUGCACCAAUCCCGUAAAUCGCCGGUAAUAAUUUUAUACCGUGUUCGCGAAUUUUUGGGAAUUUGUAGAGGAAAGUUUCGUCGGUUAAUAAUUUUACCCCCUAUUUUGUUAUAUAAUGGUUCGUUACAGGUAAUUUUUCGUAAAAAAAACCGUCCGAUUCGGCUUUAAAUAGUUUGGAAUUAUUAUUAAAUUAAUUUUUUUUAGGCCCUUUUAUAUUUUAUAUAUAU
rnacentral:sRNA from 1 species